rnacentral:lncRNA from 1 species
AUGAAUACACAAAUAAAAACUAUGGAAGAUGAUAAAGAGGAAAUUGAUUAUUUUUAUCUUCUUCAUGAAGAUGAUAUGCUUCAUGGAGUGGCAAGUGUUGCUAUAGCAUAAUUGACCAGGAUAGUGCUUUACAGCAACAAUAAAGGCAAUUUCUGCUCAACUUUAAAAUGUUUGCUUGAUUUAUACAGGGAGUGAGAGAAAUAUUGAAUCAACAGUGGAUUUUCCCUUGGGCUUCUGCAGACCAAGGAGCAGUAUGUCAAGUGUAGAGAUGAUACACAUGCCAACUCAGAGCAAACCCUUUGCCUUCAAUAAACUGUCAUUAUCGACUUAAGAAUCUCUCUUGGGGAUGUCUAACCUGAAUGGCUUUGUUGCCAUAGACCUUCUUAGGCUUUUUCUGAAUUACCAUGACACCCACACUGUCACUCAAGUUUUUCAUUGUAGUCAUUCUGAGUGCAGUAGGAUGGAAUCUCAGAGACAUUUUGAUUAGUCUUUCCUCGAUAUUAAGGAGGAUGAACACUUUUAAUUUCUUCUUGGUCAAUAGAGAUUCUUCUGUUGAGACUUCUGUUUAGCUCUGCAUAUCAUUUUGAACUGGAUUAUCUGAUUUGUUGAUGUCCAAUUUCAUACAAGCUCUCCAUCAGGUAUUGUGUUGUUGCAGAUAUUUUCCCAUUCUUUAGAUUUCAGUUUUCCCCUUUGAUAGCACCUUUUGCCUUACAAAAUAUUUUCUUCUUCUUGAUGUCCCAUUUAUUAAUUGUUCGUCUUAGAACCUGAGCUGUUGGUGUUUUAUUCAGGAAGUUGUUUCCUGGGACUAUAGAUUCAAGAUUAUUCCCCAUUUUCUCUUCUAUUAAAUUUAGUGUAUCUGGUUUCUGUUUGAGGUCUUUGAUCCACUUAGUCUUCAGUUUUUAUAGGGUGAUAGACAGAUCAAUUUUUAUUCUUCCACAAGCAGACAUCCUCUUGGAACAACACCAUUUGUUGAAGAUGCUUUCAUUUUUCCAUUGUAUAGUUUUGGGUUCUUUGUCAAAUAUCAAGUAUCCAUAGUUGUAUGGAUUUAUUUUGAGGUCUUCAUUUAAUUCCAUCAAUCAAUCUGUUUGUUUUUAAGUUCAUAGCAUGUGUUUUUGUUUGUUUAUUGUUUUUGUUGUUUGUAAAUGUUGCCUUUUAGUAGAGCUUGAAAUUAGGAAUUGUGAUAACUCCAGAGAUUCUUUUUAUGUGCCAGGGUUGAUUUAGCUGUCCUGGGUGUUUUUUUUUCCAUAUGAGAUUGAGUACUGUUCAUUCAAGGUCUGCAAAGAAUUGUCUUGGAAUUUUGAUCAGAAUUGCAUUGCAAAUGUUGAAUGCUUUUGGGAAGGUGUCCAUUUUUACUAUGUAAUCCUACCAAUCCAUGAGCAUUGGCAAUCUUUCCAUCUUCUGAUACCUUUCUCAAUUCUUUCUUCAAAGACUUGAAGUUCUUGUAUACUUCUUUCCCUUGCUUGGAUAAAGUUAAACAAAGGAAUUUUAUAUUAUUUGUGGCUAUUGUGAAGGGUACUGUUUCCCUGAUUUCUUGCUCACCUCAUUUAUCAUUUGAGUAAAGAAGGACUACUGAUUGUAGAGUUGCGUUCGAUUCUUAGAUAGAACAUAAAGUUGGGUGAGUAGAGAGGUGGGAAGGAUUUGGGAAACAUUUACGGAGAGAAAAACCUUAGUCAACAUAUAUGAAAGUUUUAGAAUUUAGAAUAUUAAAUGUCAAGAUCUAAUAUGAUCUGUCAUAAAAACAAAACAGUAUAGAUUUAAGGAGGGAACAAUUAAUAAAGUCUUAGGGCAUGAGUUAAUUGUAGUGGCUUGGGAAUUAGAUUUCAUGACCUGGGAUCAGUCAUAUGUAGUUCCCCACAAAUCAAUCAUUAAUCUAUAGCUGAUUACUAUAUCAGUGGUAUUGAAAAUAUUUAGCUCUGUCUAAAAUAUUUCUUUCAUGUGAAUAGUAGUAUAAACUUCUUCCCAGAAAUCAUGAGAAGUGAUGGAGAAAAUUACAGGAAGUUGCAUUUUAUAAAUGAUUUUCAAACCCAUAAUGAAACUGUAGCCUUCAGGUGAUGGAUGUUAAUCUCUUUGUGCAGUGUUGAUCAUAUGAAUCUACACCAAUUUUAUAUGUGUGUUUCUGUAGCAUUAACUCCACAGGUUUCCUUUGUUCCCUUAAUACCAGUCCUUUCUAUAAGCAUUUCACCUCUUCCAAUUUUAAACAUGUUCUCACCAAAGGUACUAAAUCACUGCCUGGCUAUCAGUAUCUCAGGCAUAUUCAUAGGCACAUUUAAUUUAAUUCAUGGGCAAGAAUUAUUAGACUUGAUUGAUUG